rnacentral:rRNA from 1 species
GACGAAGGAUGCAAGCGUUAUCCGGAUUCAUUGGGCUUAAAGGGCGCGUAGGUGGCCUUAUAAGUCAGUGGUGAAAUCUCUGGGCUUAACCCAGAAAUUGCCAUUGAUACUGUAGGGCUUGAGUAUAGAUGCCGUUGGCGGAAUAUGACAUGUAGUGGUGAAAUACAUAGAGAUGUCAUAGAACACCGAUUGCGAAGGCAGCUAACGAAACUAUAACUGACACUGAGGCUCGAAAGUGUGGGGAUCAAACAGG